rnacentral:rRNA from 1 species
GGGUUGUGAGGUUAAGCGACUAAGCGUACACGGUGGAUGCCCUGGCAGUCAGAGGCGAUGAAGGGCGUGCUAAUCUGCGAUAAGCGCCGGUAAGGUGAUAUGAACCGUUAUAACCGGCGAUACCCGAAUGGGGAAACCCAGUGUGACUCGUCACACUAUCAUUAACUGAAUCCAUAGGUUAAUGAGGCGAACCGGGGGAACUGAAACAUCUAAGUACCCCGAGGAAAAGAAAUCAACCGAGAUUCCCCCAGUAGCGGCGAGCGAACGGGGAGGAGCCCAGAGCCUGAAUCAGCAUGUGUGUUAGUGGAAGCGUCUGGAAAGGCGCGCGAUACAGGGUGACAGCCCCGUACACAAAAGCGCAUGUGCUGUGAGCUCGAUGAGUAGGGCGGGACACGUGGUAUCCUGUCUGAAUAUGGGGGGACCAUCCUCCAAGGCUAAAUACUCCUGACUGACCGAUAGUGAACCAGUACCGUGAGGGAAAGGCGAAAAGAACCCCGGCGAGGGGAGUGAAAAAGAACCUGAAACCGUGUACGUACAAGCAGUGGGAGCCCCACCACUAAGCCAGUGGUGAACUCCACAUACGCAUCCUUUGCUGAGGAUACGGUUAACGGAGCGCAAGCGACGUUCAACCGCAAAAGAAGCAGAGGGGGCUUAGUGGUGGUGUGACUGCGUACCUUUUGUAUAAUGGGUCAGCGACUUAUAUUCUGUAGCAAGGUUAACCGUAUAGGGGAGCCGCAGGGAAACCGAGUCUUAAUUGGGCGUUAAGUUGCAGGGUAUAGACCCGAAACCCGGUGAUCUAGCCAUGGGCAGGUUGAAGGUUGGGUAACACUAACUGGAGGACCGAACCGACUAAUGUUGAAAAAUUAGCGGAUGACCUGUGGCUGGGGGUGAAAGGCCAAUCAAACCGGGAGAUAGCUGGUUCUCCCCGAAAGCUAUUUAGGUAGCGCCUCGUGAAUUCAUCUCCGGGGGUAGAGCACUGUUUCGGCUAGGGGGCCAUCCCGGCUUACCAACCCGAUGCAAACUGCGAAUACCGGAGAAUGUUAUCACGGGAGACACACGGCGGGUGCUAACGUCCGUCGUGAAGAGGGAAACAACCCAGACCGCCAGCUAAGGUCCCAAAGUCAUGGUUAAGUGGGAAACGAUGUGGGAAGGCCCAGACAGCCAGGAUGUUGGCUUAGAAGCAGCCAUCAUUUAAAGAAAGCGUAAUAGCUCACUGGUCGAGUCGGCCUGCGCGGAAGAUGUAACGGGGCUAAACCAUGCACCGAAGCUGCGGCAGCGAACGUAUCACUUAAAGCGAUUCAGCGGGUUACGAUUGACGGAGCGAAGCGACGUCAAAGCGUAUACAAAGUCGAGUCGGUUUAAGGAUACGUUCGUUGGGUAGGGGAGCGUUCUGUAAGCCUGUGAAGGUGGCCUGUGAGGGUUGCUGGAGGUAUCAGAAGUGCGAAUGCUGACAUAAGUAACGAUAAAGCGGGUGAAAAGCCCGCUCGCCGGAAGACCAA